CAGAAAAGGGAAGAUAAACGAUAUCUUAAAAAAUAGGGGCAAAGUGUGCCAACGAAGCAGUGUCCCUGAAGCAUGGACAACACCACCUGCUGCAUAUACCAGCUCUGCCUCUUCUCUCCGUCCAUCCUAGGGGAAAGAUGAAGGACUUCUUGAUAGUGGGGCUCACAACGGGAGAGUUACUCCGGAUGGUGACAAGGAAGGAAUAAGGAGAUGGCUCUUGCAAGUGCUUCUACAAAGCAGCAGCACAUGCCACAGCCUCAAGGGGGCGGCAGGCGCUCCACCACGCACGCAUCAGGCAAGAACUGCUAGCCUCAUUCUGCUGGUGGGAAAACCGAAGCGAAGAAACGUCAGCCCGCCCAGAUGACUGACUAGGAAUGGAUGAAGCCAGGAUCUGGGACACAGGCCUGACUCUGAAAUGUGUAUGGCCUCCUCAUUCUCUUUUCUGCCUCCUCUGAAAACACAGCAACUCAACAUCUUCUUGCCACUGUUACAAUGUAAUCAUCCAGCGUAGAUCAACGCCUGUACAUACGAGAGGCAGCAGGGCAGUACCCUUGUCCCGGAGGAUCACACGGGUAGGAUUUCAGGAGACUGAGAGGUCACAUGACUGCCCUAGGUCACACGACCUAGUAAAGAGGCAAAGCUAGAAGCAAAAUUCAUGUCUCCCCUGACGUCUUUUUUAAGAAAAUAUAUUUAUUUUUAUUGUCUAUUUGGCUGUUCCAGGUCUUAGCUGUGGCAUGUGGGAUCAGUGAUCUUUGCUGUGGCGUGGGGGAUCUUUAGUUGGGGCACAUGAGCUCUUAGUGGCAUGUGGGAUCUGGUUCCCUGACCAGGAAUUGGACCAGGGCCCCCUGACUUGGGAGCAUGGAGUCUUAGUCACUGAACCACCAAGGAAGUCCCUCCUCUGACUUCUGACUCCUGGAUCAGUGCUCCUUAGUCUGUACCCUGAGAACUGCCAAUCUCCCUCUUCCAGUUCUCAGUUUUCCUUUUCCUCAUGAUCUGAUCGGUCACAAAUCCUUCUGUCAAGUGGCAUAUGGUACUUAUCCCACAUCCUUCUCCCCAGUACACACUGUCCGAGGCCCUCUAGAAUGUACAAAAGAAAUCGAAAAUAUGAUCCCCAAUCACAGAGGUGUAUCAGGGAUGUCUCUGGUGAUCCAGUGGAUGAGAGUCCACCUGCAGGUUCGAUCCCUGGCCUGGGAAGGUCCCACGUUCCAUGGAGCAACUGAGCCCGAGCCCCAGCUCCUGAAGCCCGCGUGCCCGAGAGCCUGCGCACCUCAGGGAAGAGUAGACCCCACUUGCUGCAACUAGAGAAAGCCCACACUGCAGCAAUGAAGGACCCAGCACAGCCGAAAAUUAAUUCAUUUUAAAGAGGUGUGUCAGCACCAGUGUAUGCUUUCUGACCCCCUUGUACCAUAAGGCAAAUCCCCAAAUGCCCAGAGUCUCACCAGGAAGGCAAGGCUUGUAUAUGCAAAAUAAUAUCUGAAUGCAACAUCAAGCAAUCCAGACAGAGAGCGCCAGAGAAAGUCAGAGGAGACAGGAGUCGAUCAUCCAACUAGCUUCCGUGGACAUUAGGAGAGAUUUGGGGUAAAUGUUAAUGAUACUUAGAGAGGGACAAGAGAGGAAUAUAAACAAAAAUCAGGGACAGAGAUAAAGAACAGUCAGAACAACAACAGUAGAAGAAAUAGACGAAAGGAGUGGGGCACACGCUAGGUCAGUGGACAGGUAGACCCUGGGCAGGCCUUGUUUCCCACCUGCCCAGGAUGGCUGAGCAGCCACUUGGACAGAUAAGCAGAAGACUGGAAGUCACACUCUCUCAAAGUGUGUUCUGGCCCUGGGAUUCUAGGAGUAGCUUGUUCCCCAAGGCCCCUGGUCUUGUCUCUGUGCAGAGGUCUGCUGGCAGUCCUGCCAGGACCUGCUGGGGGCAGGGAGAACCUGGUCUAAGCUGCCCGCACCUCCCCACUGGGCAGCCUCCUUGGCCUCUUAUCCCAGGGUCGCCACCCCCCCCCCAGCCCUGCCUCCCUGCCCACCCCCACAGAGUCACUUUGCCACCUGCUUCCUCCCCACCUGCUCCCUGGCUGCUUUCAUGAAGGAAGUACAAAUCUCUAACCUGCCAAUUGGCAUGAGCACUGAUGUGUGGUUCCAGACUUCUCCACAUCACAAGGCAAGCCUCCAAACUGCCCCAAGCCUUCGCCCUGUCACCUCCGACACAGCUGCUCUUCUACACUUCGGAUGCCGCUCCACCAGGCUCAGCCCCCUUAUGUCCCAAUCAGUGCUCUCACCUCCUGUUUCCUUGAGAAGCCAGAAGCCAUCUGGCAUGCACUUCAUAUCUCCCACCUCCCUGUCCCGCCACUGCUAGGAGAGGGGUCUCUCCUUUUGACCAAGGCCAACCCCCACAUACAUGCACAAGGAUCCCACACCGUCUUGCCUCGACAGGGAACCAGUGCUGUCAGUUACCCCCUCCCUUUCCCGAAUCCCUCACCUGGGUUCCUUCUCCUCCUGGAAACACAGUGUAACCUGCGGCAGGAGCAACCACAGGAGUAACACAGGAGCAACUGCAAGCUCCCCUAGACCCUGCUGCCUCUCGUCCUCCCAGUUUCCUGAACUUCUAGGAGGAGGGCUCCUGUUCUCCAUCUCCCCUGCUUCCUUCACCCCUUGCCUUUGUGCAGUCCAGCCCAGGCCCUCUCUAACCCCUCUGCCAGGUCUCCACCGCCUUCCCCAUCUCCAUAUAUGAGGAUGCCUGCUGGUCCAUACCUAUCUUGACCUCUCUGCAUCAUCGAAAGCCUCUGAAUGUUUUCUUUUCCCUUCCUACAUCCUUUCUUUCCCCCAGUAUCUUGCCAGUCAUUCCCCCUUCGAUGGCCUCUGAAGCACUUCUAGCUUGGCUCUUUUCAGUUCUCACCCUCAGGGACCCUAACCCAGGGACAGCAAGGGUAGAGGGACGAAUACUGGCUCUGUAGUCAGAUGGUUCUAGGUUUCAAUCCCAGUCCCAACAAUGGGUGAGUUUGAGCAAGUUUCUUUACCUCUCGGAGCAUAAACUUUCUCAUCUAGAAAGUGGGAGGAUGAAAUUCUGACCUUGCUCGUGUUGGAGGGCACAGAUAGGUCGCGUGGAAGGUCCAGCACAAAGAAGGGGGCAGUUUACCCCACACUGUGGGACAUUACGGCUCCAAUGGUCACCAGUGUGAUGACCCCCAAGUCUACAUCUCUAGCCCCCACUUUCCUUGUAACUCUAACUCUAUGUGUCCAGUUUUCAGGCCCGUGUGUCUAGUGCUCUUCUCUCUUUUCUAACUUGCCCUGUAUUUUUGCCCACGGAGAGAGAUUUCCACUGGUAUUUUUCAAGAUCUCAAGCUGAACUGACCCCAGCCGAACGUUGUCCCUCUCCGCACGCACCCCUGACCUGUCCUCUUCUUGACCUCCAUAUAAUGGCCCCAUGACCACUCAGCGGCCCCAGCUGGCUUUCUCAGAGUCUGAAAAGACUCUCUCUUCCUCUCCCAUCUGAGAGGUCACUGCAUCCUGAGGGCGAAACCUCUGAAACCUCCCUCAGUUCUUUGCCUCCUCUCCACCCCCGUUGCUGCUGCCUCAGCCUCCAGGCGCUCAGCAUGUCUCCCGUGGACACACACGGGCCUCCGUGCCAGUCCUGAGCCCUCUUCCCCAAAGACACUUCAUGUCCCCCUUCUGAUCUCACUGUCAGCACAGCCAAGCCACAUCAGCCUGCCACAUACCAUGGCCUUGACAGCUGGGAAACCGCUACUGCCCUUUGAGAUCCGGUUUAGAUGUACCUUGUUUAUGAGGUCUUCCUACGGCCCCCACAGGCAUGGUGCUCAGUGGCCCUUGAAACCUACCCUGAUGGUCCUGGGUGUGCUGCGCUCUAACGAUUUCUCUUCAGUAUCUGUCAGACGUUUGAGGGCAGGACCAUUGUAUCCCCAGCCCCGAGCACAUGCCUGGCACAUAGUCGUGCUCAGCAAGUGUUUGCCAAAUGAAUGAAGGAAUGGCGAGCUCUUGGGAACCCCAAGGAGGGGGGCAGUGCGCCCCUGACCUGUCUCCCUACCUCCCACCAGCCCCAAGUUGUGUCACCUAAAGGACUGGGGGCAGCAGAAGGUGUUAAAUGGAGGCUCAGCAUGGAAGUCGGGGUGGCGUGGAGAGGCCAGAGUGAGGAGGCAGCACAGAGGUGCAGGAGACCCUGGGAGGGGGCUCUUCUGGCCAGAGACUCUGAGAUUCUGGAAGGCAAAGAAUCCGAGCUGGAACCUUCCAAGCCAGGACUGAAGAUCUCCCCAAAGGUUUGGAGAACUGGAUGAUGACAAUCUGGGUAAAGCAGCCAGAGGCAAGAAACUGGGGAGAGAAGCAAUGAUCUGAGGCCUGGGGCCAAGAUGGAUGAGGUGGGUGGGGACUACUGGCAGUUUCCCUCCCUGAACCCUGGGGAAGCAGACACAGGAGGGCGAACCCUCAUCGUCUCUACCCCUUCAUCAGGGAUCUUUCAUACUGAUGCUUCAAAUGUCACCAUUAGAAGAUAACUCCUUUGAGCUAAAAUUGUAUUUCUUGGGUCCCAAAUACAAAUAUCCCUGUGAGAGAUUACUCCUUUGUGAGUUAAAAUGUUAGUUAUCUGCUGCAGCUCUAACCGAGCCGUGGCAAAGGAGGGGCUACAGGGACACUGGCUGAACUUCUGGACUUGGCUGAGCAGCGGGGUUCGGCUUUGCUCCGCCUGCCCUGUUUCCUCAUGGCUGUGUUGCCCCAGGUCUCCCCAGAGGAGAAGAUGGAGAGAUGGAGGAGGACUUGCUACAGGUAUCCUGGAUUAAAGCCAGGAUGAGUGGAGGUGGAGGUAUUGGGGCAAAGUUCAAGGUACUCGUGAACCAACUUUUAAAGUGAAUUGCUUAUCUAGGGUGAAACAGAUCACCAGCCCAGGUUGGGUGCAUGAGACAAGUGCUCGGGCCUGGUGCAC